AUUGAACGCUGGCGGCAGGCUUAACACAUGCAAGUCGAGCGGAGUGAUGGUGCUUGCACUAUCACUUAGCGGCGGACGGGUGAGUAAUGCUUAGGAAUCUGCCUAUUAGUGGGGGACAACAUCUCGAAAGGGAUGCUAAUACCGCAUACGUCCUACGGGAGAAAGCAGGGGAUCACUUGUGACCUUGCGCUAAUAGAUGAGCCUAAGUCGGAUUAGCUAGUUGGUGGGGUAAAGGCCUACCAAGGCGACGAUCUGUAGCGGGUCUGAGAGGAUGAUCCGCCACACUGGGACUGAGACACGGCCCAGACUCCUACGGGAGGCAGCAGUGGGGAAUAUUGGACAAUGGGGGGAACCCUGAUCCAGCCAUGCCGCGUGUGUGAAGAAGGCCUUAUGGUUGUAAAGCACUUUAAGCGAGGAGGAGGCUCUUUUGGUUAAUACCCAAGAUGAGUGGACGUUACUCGCAGAAUAAGCACCGGCUAACUCUGUGCCAGCCGCUGCCGUAA
rnacentral:rRNA from 1 species